UCGAACAGACCUAAAUUUUUUAGCUUCUACACCAAAAUUUAAUUUUAAUCCAACAUCGAGGUCGCAAUCCUUCUUUUCGAUUUGAACUCUCAAAAAAGAUUACGCUGUUAUCCCUAAGGUAAUUUACUCUUUUAAUCUUAAACUAAGGAUCAAUUAUUCAUAAAUAAAUGUAACAUUAAAAAAAAAGUUUAUCCAAUUUUUCAAUCACCCCAACUAAAUUAAUAUUUUAAUAAAAAAAAAUUAAUACUAAUAAUUCUUAUAAAUUUACUAAUAAAACUCUAUAGGGUCUUCUCGUCUUUUAUUAAAAUUUAAGCUUUUUAACUUAAAAAUAAAAUUCUAAUAAAUUUAAAUAGAGACAGUUAUUUUCUCAUCUAACCUUUCAUUCCAGCUUUCAAUUAAAAAACUAAUGAUUAUGCUACCUUUGCACGGUCAGUAUACCGCGGCCAUUUAAAUUCUCAUUGGGCAGGCCAGACCUUAAAUUAUAUUCAAAAA
rnacentral:rRNA from 1 species